rnacentral:rRNA from 1 species
GAUGAACGCUGGCGGCGUGCUUAACACAUGCAAGUCGAACGGAAAGGCCCAAGCUUGCUUGGGUACUCGAGUGGCGAACGGGUGAGUAACACGUGGGUGAUCUGCCCUGCACUUCGGGAUAAGCCUGGGAAACUGGGUCUAAUACCGGAUAGGACCACAUUUUGGAUGGUGUGGUGGAAAGUUUUUCGGUGUGGGAUGAGCUCGCGGCCUAUCAGCUUGUUGGUGGGGUAAUGGCCUACCAAGGCGUCGACGGGUAGCCGGCCUGAGAGGGUGUACGGCCACAUUGGGACUGAGAUACGGCCCAGACGCCUACGGGAGGAAGCAGUGGGGAAGAUUGCACAAUGGGCGCAAGCCUGAUGCAGCGACGCCGCGUGGGGGAUGACGGCCUUCGGGUUGUAAACUCCUUUCGCUAGGGACGAAGCGUUAUGUGACGGUACCUGGAGAAGAAGCACCGGCUAACUACGUG